rnacentral:rRNA from 1 species
CAUGCAGGCGGUCGGGCGCGUUUUGUGUGACAGCGCAUGGCUUAACUAUGCGAGCAUACGAAAGACGGUCUGACUUGAGGGCUCGAGAGGGACACGGAAUUCCGGGUGGAGUGGUGAAAUGCGUAGAGAUCCGGAGGAACACCGAAGGCGAAGGCAGUGUCCUGGCGAGCGACUGACGCUGAGGUGCGAAAGCCAGGGGAGCGAACGGGAUUAGAUACCCCGGUAGUCCUGGCCGUAAACGAUGACCACCAGGUGUGGGAGGUAUCGACCCCUUCCGUGCCGGAGGCAACCCACUGAGUGGUCCGCCUGGGGAGUACGGUCGCAAGAUUAAA